rnacentral:snRNA from 1 species
GUGUUUGCUUCAGCAGCACAUACACUAAAAUUGGGAUGCUCCAGAGAUGAGCAUGGCCCCUGUGCAAGGAU